ensembl:lncRNA
GUGCUGCUUAGUGGGGAAGGCUGUUGAGUAGAGCUCUCCAUCAUUAUGCCCUAUGCUCAAGCAUCUGAAGAAAUCUUUAUGUGCUUCUGUGCCCAACAUGAGAACUUUGAUCCUCAAGUGGCCCAAUUAACUGUGCAUUGCUCCAUUGCUGCUGGUGACUAAAAGAAGAAUGAAAGAGACCAAUUGCUUAUGUCUGCACAGUUAGUAAGAUUGUAACUUAAAAGACCACAAGGUAUGCCUAAUAGUUUCGCUACUGUAUUUUUAACAAGCAGAUCAACACUUGAAACAUGAAAGGGGUUAUUUCAGUCAAUAAAUAAGACAUGAUACCCAUUUUUCUAUAUGGGGUGGGAGUGAGGUAGGAAAUAAAAAUAAAACAAUACUUGAAAGUUGAGAUAGACAUAUAAAAACUUAUAUAUACACAUUGUUGUAGCGAAGGUUUACAAGGGAAUAGACUUAAUACAGGACACAUAAUUUAUGGGAUUAUUUUAUAAUAUUCACCCCCCAAAAAAUCAAAUGCAGAAGCAUGCAAGAGAUCUGUCAGUGGAUUAGAGACCCAAAGAAGACAGCUGAGGGCCUGGAUCCCAAGGCAAUGUCUCAUGCAAGUUUGUAUCAAAGAUCUACACUGGGAAGGACAAAAGCCCAGUGGAGAAGGCUAGAAAGUCUGUUCCAAUGGGGUGAGGGAUCUGUGCUAACAGGCUGGGGGAUCUGCACUGGAUCCAGGAAAUGAUGCUCAAGGCAAAGACCAGAGCUCUCCCAGAAAAGAACAGCAACCAUCCCAGCAAGGAGUGGAGCUCCUCUGAUGAUGAGAACCGCCAAGUUCCUAUCUGGAAAACCAGCCACAACAAACCUUCUCCUGAGAAAUUAGCAGCAAGAAAUCUUCCCCUCCUGUUCUCCUUUUAUGCUGUUGACAACAAUCCUCAGGUGGGUCUUCCAUGGCCAGAACUACACUAACUCAGUUCAACUGGGCUUUGCCACUCAAGCUGAUCAUUAGGUAGCCCACUGCACACAUACGCUUAAACACUCAUAUAUUUUUCCAGAUUGCUUAAUACACUACAAGUUUUCUUCAUUUCAGGAGCACUAUAUUCUCUUUGUAUUUUAUAAGAAAUAAUAUCCAUAUAUGUAAAAAUAACAAUGUUUCUAAAAUACAUUUCAAAUGUUAAAUUAUUUUUCACUUACAAAUACAUCAUACCAAAUGUCAUUCAAAUAAAAAUUAUACUGUAUGUUAAGAAUCUACAGGUGUUUUACGUAUAUUUGGGCAAGUUGUACCUGCACAGGAUGAAAAAAGACUCUAAUCACAGCAUAGAUAUUGUAAGUGUUAAUGUUUAUUAUAACAUUUCCAGGAAAUUACAAUUAAAUGUAUUGACUAAGAAAAAUGUAUGUGUUACAAUAGUCCUCCAACAAGUGGCAGCAAAAACUUAGAGAAAGGAUACACUUUUUCAAAUUUAUAUAAAAGUACCAUAAAAACUAGGGGAGCAUUGAGAAUCCAGGAGGAUGUACAU